rnacentral:rRNA from 1 species
CAAGUCGAGCGGAAGAUGGGAGCUUGCUCCCUGAUGUUAGCGGCGGACGGGUGAGUAACACGUGGGUAACCUGCCUGUAAGACUGGGAUAACUCCGGGAAACCGGGGCUAAUACCGGAUGCUUGUUUGAACCGCAUGGUUCAGACAUAAAAGGUGGCUUCGGCUACCACUUACAGAUGGACCCGCGGCGCAUUAGCUAGUUGGUGAGGUAACGGCUCACCAAGGCGACGAUGCGUAGCCGACCUGAGAGGGUGAUCGGCCACACUGGGACUGAGACACGGCCCAGACUCCUACGGGAGGCAGCAGUAGGGAAUCUUCCGCAAUGGACGAAAGUCUGACGGAGCAACGCCGCGUGAGUGAUGAAGGUUUUCGGAUCGUAAAGCUCUGUUGUUAGGGAAGAACAAGUGCCGUUCAAAUAGGGCGGCACCUUGACGGUACCUAACCAGAAAGCCACGGCUAACUACGUGCCAGCAGCCGCGGUAAUACGUAGGUGGCAAGCGUUGUCCGGAAUUAUUGGGCGUAAAGGGCUCGCAGGCGGUUUCUUAAGUCUGAUGUGAAAGCCCCCGGCUCAACCGGGGAGGGUCAUUGGAAACUGGGGAACUUGAGUGCAGAAGAGGAGAGUGGAAUUCCACGUGUAGCGGUGAAAUGCGUAGAGAUGUGGA